rnacentral:rRNA from 1 species
GGUUAAGCGACUAAGCGUACACGGUGGAUGCCCUGGCAGUCAGAGGCGAUGAAGGACGUGCUAAUCUGCGAAAAGCGUCGGUAAGGUGAUAUGAACCGUUACAGCCGGCGAUGUCCGAAUGGGGAAACCCAGUGCAAUUCGUUGCACUAUCGUUAACUGAAUACAUAGGUUAACGAGGCGAACCGGGGGAACUGAAACAUCUAAGUACCCCGAGGAAAAGAAAUCAACCGAGAUUCCCCCAGUAGCGGCGAGCGAACGGGGAGCAGCCCGGAGUCUGAAUCAGCUUGUGUGUUAGUGGAAGCGUCUGGAAAGUCGCAGGGUACAGGGUGAUACUCCCGUACACUAAAACACACAGGCUGUGAACUCGAAGAGUAGGGCGGGACACGUGGUAUCCUGUCUGAAUAUGGGGGGACCAUCCUCCAAGGCUAAAUACUCCUGACUGACCGAUAGUGAACCAGUACCGUGAGGGAAAGGCGAAAAGAACCCCGGCGAGGGGAGUGAAAAAGAACCUGAAACCGUGUACGUACAAGCAGUAGGAGCCCCACCACCAAAGCGUUUCGCUUUGCGUGGUGCGCAAAAUGCGUAACGACAGCAUGAUGGACGGUUAACGGAGCGUCAGCGACGUUCAACCUCAAAAAUCAGGCAGUGGAGCGUUUUGGGGUGGGGUGACUGCGUACCUUUUGUAUAAUGGGUCAGCGACUUAUAUUCUGUAGCAAGGUUAACCGAAUAGGGGAGCCGCAGGGAAACCGAGUCUUAACUGGGCGUUAAGUUGCAGGGUAUAGACCCGAAACCCGGUGAUCUAGCCAUGGGCAGGUUGAAGGUUGGGUAACACUAACUGGAGGACCGAACCGACUAAUGUUGAAAAAUUAGCGGAUGACUUGUGGCUGGGGGUGAAAGGCCAAUCAAACCGGGAGAUAGCUGGUUCUCCCCGAAAGCUAUUUAGGUAGCGCCUCGUGAAUUCAUCUUCGGGGGUAGAGCACUGUUUCGGCUAGGGGGUCAUCCCGACUUACCAACCCGAUGCAAACUACGAAUACCGAAGAAUGUUAUCACGGGAGACACACGGCGGGUGCUAACGUCCGUCGUGAAGAGGGAAACAACCCAGACCGCCAGCUAAGGUCCCAAAGUCAUGGUUAAGUGGGAAACGAUGUGGGAAGGCCCAGACAGCCAGGAUGUUGGCUUAGAAGCAGCCAUCAUUUAAAGAAAGCGUAAUAGCUCACUGGUCGAGUCGGCCUGCGCGGAAGAUGUAACGGGGCUAAACCAUGCACCGAAGCUGCGGCAGCGACACUAUGUGUUGUUGGGUAGGGGAGCGUUCUGUAAGCCGUUGAAGGUGGCCUGUGAGGGUUGCUGGAGGUAUCAGAAGUGCGAAUGCUGACAUAAGUAACGAUAAUGCGGGUGAAAAACCCGCACGCCGGAAGACCAAGGGUUCCUGUCCAACGUUAAUCGGGGCAGGGUGAGUCGACCCCUAAGGCGAGGCCGAAAGGCGUAGUCGAUGGGAAACAGGUUAAUAUUCCUGUACUUGGUGUUACUGCGAAGGGGGGACGGAGAAGGCUAUGUUGGCCGGGCGACGGUUGUCCCGGUUUAAGCAUGUAGGCGGAUGUUCCAGGUAAAUCCGGAACGUUACUAACGCUGAGGUGUGAUGACGAGGCACUACGGUGCUGAAGUGACAAAUGCCCUGCUUCCAGGAAAAGCCUCUAAGCAUCAGGUAACAUCAAAUCGUACCCCAAACCGACACAGGUGGUCAGGUAGAGAAUACCAAGGCGCUUGAGAGAACUCGGGUGAAGGAACUAGGCAAAAUGGUGCCGUAACUUCGGGAGAAGGCACGCUGAUGGUAAGUGAAGCGACUUGCUCGUGGAGCUGAAAUCAGUCGAAGAUACCAGCUGGCUGCAACUGUUUAUUAAAAACACAGCACUGUGCAAACACGAAAGUGGACGUAUACGGUGUGACGCCUGCCCGGUGCCGGAAGGUUAAUUGAUGGGGUUAUCCUCGCGGAGAAGCUCUUGAUCGAAGCCCCGGUAAACGGCGGCCGUAACUAUAACGGUCCUAAGGUAGCGAAAUUCCUUGUCGGGUAAGUUCCGACCUGCACGAAUGGCGUAAUGAUGGCCAGGCUGUCUCCACCCGAGACUCAGUGAAAUUGAACUCGCUGUGAAGAUGCAGUGUACCCGCGGCAAGACGGAAAGACCCCGUGAACCUUUACUAUAGCUUGACACUGAACACUGGUCCUUGAUGUGUAGGAUAGGUGGGAGGCUUUGAAGUGUGGACGCCAGUCUGCAUGGAGCCAUCCUUGAAAUACCACCCUUUAAUGGCUGGUGUUCUAACGUGGGCCCCUAAUCGGGGUUGCGGACAGUGUCUGGUGGGUAGUUUGACUGGGGCGGUCUCCUCCUAAAGAGUAACGGAGGAGCACGAAGGUCAGCUAAUCCUGGUCGGACAUCAGGAGGUUAGUGCAAUGGCAUAAGCUGGCUUGACUGCGAGCGUGACGGCGCGAGCAGGUGCGAAAGCAGGUCAUAGUGAUCCGGUGGUUCUGAAUGGAAGGGCCAUCGCUCAACGGAUAAAAGGUACUCCGGGGAUAACAGGCUGAUACCGCCCAAGAGUUCAUAUCGACGGCGGUGUUUGGCACCUCGAUGUCGGCUCAUCACAUCCUGGGGCUGAAGUAGGUCCCAAGGGUAUGGCUGUUCGCCAUUUAAAGUGGUACGCGAGCUGGGUUUAGAACGUCGUGAGACAGUUCGGUCCCUAUCUGCCGUGGGCGCUGGAGAAUUGAGGGGGGCUGCUCCUAGUACGAGAGGACCGGAGUGGACGCAUCACUGGUGUUCGGGUUGUCAUGCCAAUGGCAUUGCCCGGUAGCUAAAUGCGGAAGAGAUAAGUGCUGAAAGCAUCUAAGCACGAAACUUGCCCCGAGAUGAGUUCUCCCUGACUCCUUGAGAGUCCUGAAGGAACGUUGAAGACGACGACGUUGAUAGGCCGGGUGUGUAAGCGCAGCGAUGCGUUGAGCUAACCGGUACUAAUGAACCGUGAGGCUUAACCUU